rnacentral:misc_RNA from 1 species
UCCCUUCUCCCAGUAAUGUGAAUUGCAGAAUUCAGUGAAUCAUCGAAUCUUUGAACGCACAUUGCGCCCGUUAGCAUUCUAGCGGGCAUGCCUGUCCGCGCGUCAUUUCAACCCUCAGGGCCCCCCGUUCCGGCGGGCGGACCUGGCGUUGGGGAUCGGCCCGCCCCGUGCGGCGCCGUCCCCCAAAUACAGUGGCGGUCCCGCCGCAGCCUCCCCUGCGUAGUAGUUUACAACCUCGCAUCGGAGCGCGGCGCGGCCACGCCGUAAAACCCCCGACUUUCUGAACGUUGACAUCGGAUCAGGUAGGAAUACCCGCUGAACUUAAGC